rnacentral:lncRNA from 7 species
AGAGCAAGUGACACGGCCAGUUUGUACUCUGAUACAUCCAAGUGAGUUCACCUUUUUGCUUCUGGAUAUAAAUCUUCGUUUUGCUGAAGAGGUUCUGAUAUGACUGACCAUAAGGAAAGAAAGGAGUACACGUCCUCAGAAGCAGUACGAAUGGGGGUAAGAUGGCCAAUGUGCAUCCAACUGCCAAAAUGCACUUUCCAGAAUCACUGGAGGAAGGAGGGCACACCGAGUAUCCUCAGCACUAGACAGAAAGAGCUGCUCUGCUGCCAAAGUGUGGAUUUUGUUGACCUGAAGGAGUGUCCCGGAGAGAAGAUGAUCAUCUGUUGUCAAAAAGUAACACCUUUUCUAACAAGAACAUUGGAAUUAGAAGCACGAACCUGGAAUUAUGGCAGCAUGUUACAAAUGAGAGCAGCUGGAGCACAACCAACACACAGAUCUAUGCUUCAUGAAGAAAAUAUGGGAAAGGUACAGCUGAUACCUACCAACACAAUAAAUGUGCAGAAAAAAGUUACUGAUGACUAGAAGAAAUCCUGAUGCCUUCAAAAUGUCUUUGCUCUCACCCAUUCCUCAUGGUGUUUGGCAAUCGGCUGCAGGCAGUUUUGUUUGUUUCUGAAUGAGAUUUCAGAAAUGUUCUGCUGAAGAGCAAGAAGAUUUUCUGACAGUGGGAUGGAGAGGUCAUUGGCAGCGAGGUGCGAGAGCCCUGAGCACUGCAGCUUUUCAGGAGAGGGUUUUUAAUGGGUAGGAUUUUCACUUCUAUUAAUAAUUAUAUCUUUUGGGAUUGAGUGAUGUUCUCAGGUGUUUUAUUUUACUGUUACUGGGAGUUAUGUGAAGGUCUGAAGCUAGCUACUGUAAUGGGAACUACAUUCUACUUACGCAGCAUAUGAAAAAGCCCUGCCAGUAUUUCACAGUAUGGUGCCAAGAAAGCCUUAAUUUUCAUGUGCUUGACUGUAAGAGGUAAUUGAUCUGUAUUUUCUUGUAAUAAGAAACUUCUCUAAUUGUCAUUUAACGUACAGUGUUGUAUCCAGUGAUUAUUAUCCUAUUCACUCGAGUGACUCUCUGGUGGUGGAUUCUGUCUGAACCUGAGCUUUUUGUCACAUCUAGAUUCAGGAUGGCUCCAUAGCCUUCCUGCCUUGAAAAGAAGUAAUUAUUCAACCAAAAUUUUCACACUUUUGUUAUUGUCAACAUACCCACUUCCUGCUGAGUAUUAAGGUGCAUUAUUCCUGGACUGUGCACCAGAAAUAUGACUAAUAACAAGCUCUGAUACAGAAGAUAGCAAAUGAAGGCAAGGUAAUAGUAAUUUGUCAUUUGAAUUGCAGCCAAAUUGGCUGUUUCGCAGUACAUGUCUACAGCAAUUAUAUGUUGUUUUGCUUC